rnacentral:rRNA from 1 species
GCUUACGGCCUUACCACCCUGAGAACGCCCGAUCUCGUCUGAUCUCGGAAGCUAAGCAGGGUCGGGCCUGGUUAGUACUUGGAUGGGAGACCGCCUGGGAAUACCAGAUGCUGUAAGCU